rnacentral:rRNA from 1 species
GGACGGGGCCGCCCCGCGAGGGACGGCGCCGCCCCGGGGCUCGUGAUAUCUUAUCUCGCCGCCCGUCGCGAGGCGGACGGAGGGAUGGAUGAGGUUACCUGGAAAAAUCGGGGCGAUCUAGGCGGGCGAACCUCGCCAACGAACGAUCGGACAUGGGAUAACGGAAGAGGGCGUCGGCUCGACUUCGUCGGUUCCUCGGGCCGAGGCACGUACGGUGAAUAGGGACGGUCGGGGCCGCCCGUACCGGGUCGUGAGAGGUGAAAUUCUAGGAUCGACCCGAGACGAACUGCCGCGAAAGCAUUCGGCAAGGACGCUUUCAUUAAUCAAGAACGAAAGUCGGGGGAUCGAAGACGAUCAGAUACCGUCGUAGUCCCGACCGUAAACGAUGCCGACCGAGGGCCCGGAGGAGUUACGUACGACCCUCCGGGCCCUCCCGCGAGAAAUCAGGAGUAUUCGGGUUCCGGGGGGAGUAUGGUCGCAAGGCCGAAACUUAAAGGAAUUGACGGAAGGG